UACGUAGGGUCCGAGCGUUGUCCGGAAUUAUUGGGCGUAAAGGGCUCGUAGGCGGCCAACUAAGUCAGACGUGAAAUCCCUCGGCUUAACCGGGGAACUGCGUCUGAUACUGGAUGGCUUGAAUCCGGGAGAGGGAUGCGGAAUUCCAGGUGUAGCGGUGAAAUGCGUAGAUAUCUGGAGGAACACCGGUGGCGAAGGCGGCAUCCUGGACCGGCAUUGACGCUGAGGAGCGAAAGCCAGGGGAGCAAAGCGGG
rnacentral:rRNA from 1 species